CAAACCGUCGUUACCAAAAUCUCAAGGCCUCCCUAUUUCCAAACACGCGUUACCCCGUGCGUUAGAAAGAAUACGACUUUCCAAACACGAUCUACUAGUGUGCUAGGGAAUUUUACUCGCGAAAAUCCUAAUUCUCCUGCGGUUUCCCUUUUUUUUUUUUUUAUUCUUCAUUCUUCGUCCUCCCUCCUCCUCUCCUGCGGCGAUCGUGUCCUCAUGCCAGUUGCUGUUGAGAAGGUGUAAGGAUUUUGGAACAUUUUCUGCUCCAGCUAUAUGACUUCGCCAGCUCCAAGAGAAUCCAGUGUGAUAGUAUCCCGAGGACAGAACAACAAGAAAAGAAUUCAUGGCUUUAAAGUCUGACCGUCAUAUUUAUUGAAGGUUUCCACCCGCAGGAAGUAUUAUUAUGGAUCAAAUCAAUAGUUAAACAAUAUGGAGAAAAUAUAUCAAAAGAGCAAUUGACAGAGCAUAUUUGGACUACUGGCAAGGUGUUGAAAAACUGGUCCAUGUAGGUACCAGACAGAGCGCCUGGCUAUCAGAAGGCUUACCUGCUGAUAAGCAUGGAAAUAAUUGCAUGCCAAGUGGGAUCCUGAAUCAAGCCAUAGCACAGGCAUCUAUUUCUUCAGCAAUCCUAUAUUGUCAAGCCCAUUUCUAUUACAAGUCAUCUGCGGGCAAAGACUAGACUCUACAAGGACGAAGCUUGAAAGAUUUUCUCCCUGUUGUAAGUGGACCUUCUCUCUAGAUUCCCUCUCUUCCUUGGAAGUUAUUGCCCUUGACAAAUUGUGUUAUUUUUUAUCUGAUCUUUGACAUUCACACUUUUGUUUCUUUGCUGAUUAUUUUUGUGUUUGGUUUCUUUUUAGUUAUUUUCUUUUAUUUAGUUCUUGUUGAAGUCUCUGAGUUUGCUGCCAAUUUGUAUACAUGCAUGUGUGUUGUCUCCUUGUGAAACAAGAGUCCUUUGUUAUUCUGACCAUGCGUACACCUCAUGCAUGUUUUCUUUUUGUACUAUUACGGGUCUCGAGUAUUCAUCUUUGUUACAUAUUUUUAGGUAGAAAUCACCAGAAGUUCAGUUAAUAUCUUUUAUGGUUCAUUCUGUAACUUAAAUAUCAUUUUAUUCAUUCAAACAAGAUGAGUUCCAAGAGAAUUCCUUUCACUUUUCCUUUCUUUCAUAAUCCCCUAAAUGUGAUACUUAACAUAAAUGGAAAUAGUUCAGAUUUGAAGCUAUGGUCCCCACAAUCUGGUCCUAGAAGCAGUAAAAGGAAUUUAAAUUAAAAUUCAUUUCAUGGGCCCAUUUGAAAUGGUUUUGCUUAUUUGGUUAAAAUACAGUUUUCUUAAAUAAAAGCUUUUUCCUUUCUGCCUUCUGUUUCCUGCAUUAAAUGCAUGGAGUGGCCAAUGGAAAUAUGGGCUGAUUGAUUAUGUCCACUAAGCCAAGUGGACGAAAUCAUAUGCAAAUUGGAGAAAGGCAGACCUUUACAUUAAAUCUACGAACUGGAGAUCUCUGCAUGAGUUCAUCGGUAGGUGGUUUAGUACCCAAUGCAAGUGCCCCAAGUGUAUCCAUUAUGAGAUUAACCCACAGAAGCUGCAGAAACAACUUCCUAAGAAAUCAAGAACACAAAAGCAAAAUGUCAAUUGUCUUUAACUCCAGUCUUUGGAACCUGAAAUGCAGUUAUGUAUAGUUUGUCUGUUCAUUUGCUGCAAUAUAAAGCGUUUUGAUGUAGCUCAUAUGUUUUAAUUAGGGUGAUUAUUCGUUUUUACAUUUGAUUUUCACUGUAACUUCCAAAAGAACAUAGUUCCAUUGACAAAUACAUGUAGAUAGAACUUCACUGUUUGGUACUUCUUUCUGUCUUUGUCAAUUUCUUUAAUCAUUCAGUGGCUGUGAAAGUGUUGGUGGCGGAAAAUGCAAUCCCUUGGCUGAGAUCUACACUUCAGUCUCUGAGUUCAGCAUGAAGAGGAGGUCGGAAGAAGAGGAUGCAGUGGAUUCUGGAACUGAUGCUGAGAUGUUGUCUUGUGUUCAGACCUUACCAUUGCAUUCUUCUCCCCAGUGGCUUCAUGUCUCCCAUGCGAAUAAUAUAGGCGACAAUGUCAUCCUCUAACUUUGUAGAUGUAUAUGUAUCUGUAUAUAAUAUCUGGAGCCGUUUGCUCCUACUGCUUUUACUCUGUUGCUGCUACUUCUUAGUUGAGCUAGUGGUCAGUUAAUCUUUUUAUCAAGUGUUUUAUAGAAGGAUGCCAUAUUUGUGUGCUGCA